rnacentral:rRNA from 1 species
CGGAUUACCUACUUGGUGGGGUAAAGGCCUACCAAGGCGACCAUCUGUAGCGGGUCUGACAGGAUGAUCCGCCACACUGGGACUGACACACUGCCCAUACUCCUACGGGAGGCAGCAUUGGGGAAUAUUGGACAAUGGGCGCACGCCUGAGCCAGCCAUGCCGCGUGUGUGACGAAGGCCUUAUGGUUGUAGAGCACUUUAAGCGAGGAUGAGGCUACUUUAGUUAAUACCUACAGAUAGUGGACGUUACUCGCAUAAUAAGCACCGGCUAACUCUGUGCCAGCAGCCGCGGUAAUACAGAGGGUGCAAGCGUUAAUCGGAUUUACUGGGCGUAAAGCGCGCGUAGGCGGCUAAUUAAGUCAGAUGUGAAAUCCCCGAUCUUAACUUGCGAAUUGCAUUCGAUACUGGUUAGCUAAAGUGUGGGAAAUGAUGGUAGAAUUACGAGUGUAGCGGUGAAAUG